GGGCCCGCACAAGCGGAGGAACAUGUGGUUUAAUUCGAUGAUACGCGAGGAACCUUACCCGGGCUUGAAUUGUGAGAGAAGGAUCCAGAGAUGGUGACGCCCUUCGGGGCUCUCAUGAAGGUGCUGCAUGGUUGUCGUCAGCUCGUGCCGUGAGGUGUCGGCUUAAGUGCCAUAACGAGCGCAACCCCUCUCUUCAGUUGCCAUCAGGUCAAGCUGGGCACUCUGGAGACACUGCCACCGUAAGGUGUGAGGAAGGUGGGGAUGACGUCAAAUCAGCACGGCCCUUACGUCCGGGGCUACACACGUGUUACAAUGGGUGGUACAGAGAGUUGGGAGCCCGCAAGGUCUCUCUAAUCGCUAAAUCCAUCCUCAGUUCGGACUGGGGUCUGCAACCCGACCCCACGAAGCUGGAUUCGCUAGUAAUCGCGCAUCAGCCAUGGCGCGGUGAAUACGUUCCCGGGCCUU
rnacentral:rRNA from 1 species